GAUGAACGCUAGCGACAGGCCUAACACAUGCAAGGUCAGGGGCAUCGGGACUAGCAAUACGUUGCCGGCGACCGGCGGAUGGGUGAGUAACGCGUAUGCAACCUACCCGUAGCAGGGGGAUAGCCCGUUGAAAGACGGAUUAAUACCCCGUAACACAGGGGCUCCGCAUGGAGAUUAUUGUUAAAGGGUCAUUUCUUUUAGAGGUGGUCCGGCUGCGGAUGGGCAUGCGUUCCAUUAGGUAGUUGGUGUAGGUAACGGCUCACCAAGCCGACGAUGGAUAGGGGAACUGAGAGGUUGGUCCCCCACACUGGUACUGAGACACGGACCAGACUCCUACGGGAGGCAGCAGUGAGGAAUCUUGGUCAAUGGACGCAAGUCUGAACCAGCCAUGUCGCGUGAAGGAGGACGGCCCUAAGGGUUGUAAACUUCUUUUGCAGCGGAAUAAAGUUUGCCACGAGUUGGCGAUUUGCAAGUACGCUGCGAAUAAGGAUCGGCUAACUCCGUG
rnacentral:rRNA from 1 species